GUGCUCACAUACUUCGGCAGCACAUAUACUAAAAUUGGAAAGAUACAGAGAAGGUGAGCAUGACCCAUUGCGCAAGGAUGACACGCAAAUUCGUGAAACGUUCCAAAAUCAU
ensembl:snRNA U6 U6 spliceosomal RNA